GAUUUUUGGAUUCAAGAUGAAAAAUAACUCUCGCAUGCGGUCACGAAAAUAAUUAUUAUAUACAAAAAUAAUUAAGAAAAUAAAAAAGAAUUAUUUAGUUACACAUUUUCCCCUAUUAUGUAUUGAUUUAUUUUAUUAAACAAAAUAUUAUGUGUAAAAUUAUGCUUUUUCGCUAUUUGAGGACAAAAUUAAAAGUACUGUUAUCAUUUAUGAAAUCACUUCUAUUUUCGAGUCUUAUACGUAAAAUUCUUUUUUAUAAUGAUUAACACUAUCGAGCGAAAUUCAAACUAACGGAUUUGACGACAUAUCGUCGUAACAUGCUAUCGCCUUUCAGAAUUUGAUAACAUUUGACACUGACGGCUUUAAGUCCGGAAAUUGAUCAUAUGUAUAUCAUGGAGAUGAAUCUGUAAAAUUUGCUGUGGUCUGAACAAAACAGUAUAAUUGAAUAAAAAUUUUCACCAGAUCAAAAUCGAUAUGUCAAGAGUGCAUCAUGUGCAAUGCAAAGAUAAAAAUAUGCAACUCAAGAUUAUAAAAGCAAGGAAAUAGACACCCACAUGCGCGUAACAUUCCAGCUGAAAGGUGUCUGAUAUAUUAAUUGACAAUGUUGAGACAGUAAUUGAACUACUUAUGAUACCUAAAAAAUAAAAACAUCUGGAACAUUGAGUGGACCGCAUUAAAUUUCCGUGAUAACAUAUCCUGUUGAAGUUGGACUGAAGACGGAGUACUCAAGAAAGCGAGAUUCAUAUGUAGAGGAAGCCCUCCACGUUCCCAGAUUAAUUUUUCGCACAGUGCUAUAUGCAAUCAUAGCAGAUGUGAAUGGUCGCAGUUCGCACACAGGCACAUGGCACACAGACGUCUAUAGCUAUAUUAGGCUGCGUUCGGAAACACUACUCGAUGGAGUUGCGUGAGUCGUGAUGGAGGAAUGAUGCAUCCUGGAUGCAAAUAGUUUCCGAACGGAGUUCGGAAUUUGAUCCUAUUUAGACAGAUUUGUAUAAUCAAACAUAUACAUUUCUUUAUGCAUUUGCUUAUAGAUCAAUUAAUUUCCUUAUGCAUAUUUUUAGGUGGCUAUGCAAAUCCGUCUGGAUAAGCCCUAAUGCUUGCCGAGCAAGAAGCGAUUCACGGUAACCAAUCAGUCUUUCGCUCUUAUAGAAAAGUUGUAAGUUGAUUGGCUGCCUUUUUCCGCGCGGCAAGCAAUACCGCGUUCUGUGUGUAGGAACCACUCUGUCGACUACAUCUUUAUUAUCAUCGCAAUGCAACUGCUGGUCUUCUUGGGAACGAGUCUCCUCGACAUUAGGACUGUCAUCGCUUCCCGAGGGCGAACUGUCCUGCGGAAUAUCGAUGCCGGCGUUCGACACUAUGCAAAGAUCGCCUCGCAACUCGCUGACCACAGCCGUAAUCUUCUGAGCAUCUGUCAACACUUCCACUGACUGGGUGUACGGAUUGUAGCGCACCCCAAAUGGUCGUUGAAUCUGAUUAGCAAACGCUCUGGAAGUAAUAUGAAUGUUAAUACGAUCUCUUAUUUGAUUUCGAAGAAAAAAAAGGAAUCACGUUUGAACGAAAAAAUCGGACGCGAGCAACAGAGUGUGGCGGUACCAUCCUUAACAGGUCCUCUUAAGAUCUCGGCCUCCCCCGCUUGUGCUCGUCUUUCUCAAUGACGAUCUUGCCGUGAUUGGGCGGUGCACGGUGGCACCAGCGAUUCCCAUUGGUCGGAUAAAACUUUUCAUGGGGUUGAAGACAAGUGUUGGCUCACCCCGUUUAACGGCAAGUGGUGCCGGUCCUUGAAUGUAUUUUCUACAAGUGACGUCACUGGAGCGAAUGAUACGAGCACUGAUACUGAAGAGUACGCGCAAAAAUUGCAAGAUCUUCAAUAAAUAAGAUACAACAAGGUGUUUUUAUUUUUACAAUAAAUUUUUAUCUGAGAAAUAAAACGCAAUGUUUUGUGCGUAAAAAAAGAGAAAAGAUGGA